CUCCUCCCAGCGCGCCUCCGGCCGGCCUCCUCCCCCCCCCGCACCGCCGUUCGUCCUCCUCCCAGCGCGCCUCUGAGCGGCCUCCUCCCCACCGUGCCACUAGCCGGCCUCCUCACCACCGUGCUGCCGUCCGGCCUCCUCCCCCGGCGAGCCCCAGCUCCGGUGACCCCCACCCCCAGCGAGCCCUAGCUCCUCGUCGCAUUUGGGAAGGCAUCGCCGCUGCCGUUCCUCUGCUCGGCUGCAGAUGUAGAUGUCGCCGUUGUUCUUACGCAUAGCUAGGGACCACUCAAGCACGACGCACCCGUCCUCCUCAACUAUAGCAGCAUUCAGGUUUUAAUCAGGAAGUGACAAUAAUUUCGUGGUGAUCAACCAGAAGGACAUUGAUCCUCCACCCCUCGAUCUCCAAGCUAGAGCAGGGUAGAAAUAUAGAUUCAACAAUAAAAUCUGCGGUGCGCCGGGAUCGGAGGUAUGAAGGAUCCCAUGCAGCAUGCUUCAGUUCAAGAAAAAUCUCAAUAAAAGUUCAGAGUAGUUCACACUUCAGUUAGCACCUGGCAUCGGCCGAGGCAACCAUCCCCACCUCCCCUGACCAGAUCCUCCAUGGCCCUCGGCCACGAGCUCGUCCACCAUGGUUACUCGCAGUCGUCAAAGUGGAGCACGGACAUCAGUCCAAGUAGAAUUGAAGCCACCAUCUUCACCAUUUUCUUAUCAUCCUCACAUUAUUUUCUUGGCGAAUUAGCAAUAACUGCUAUUGUAGAAAGGAGCUUGUUGGUGUUUCUGUUUCUUUUUGGUAUGUGUUUAUCCGCAUGUGAGGGCAGUGGACAUGUUGUCCUUCUGAUAAUCUCCUUUAAUAAUAACACACACCUCCUCUUAAUGAGAAGAUGUGCAAAACUUUCCAUGACUCUUAAAAAGAGCCGUUUUGCAUAUGUAUAGUUUUGACCUACUUAAAAAUUGAGCCUAUCAUUUUUUAUGAGUACCAUGAGUAUAAUGUUGUUCUUUUCCUAGCUGAGUCCGGUGAAGUACUAACAAUGAGUUUUUUGGUUGGCCUUCCAGAUCUGGAGUGGAAGCUUAUAUAUGUUGGAUCAGCUGAAGAUGAGAACUAUUAUCAGCAACUUGAGAGUGUGCUUGUUGGCCCUGUGAAUGUUGGGACAUGCUGUUUUGUUCUGGAGAGAUCCGCCUGUUCAUAUUACAGUUGGGCAGCUGCUUUGCUCCGACCUCAGAACAUCAAUUUUCAUGCUCUGGUUGACAUUAUGCUUGCAGCUGAGUGUACUUAUUCUGAUGCUCUGAUUGACCUUUUGCUUGCAGCUGAGCUGUACUUCCUCCUAUUCAAAUGCUUGCACACAAGAAACUAGCAGUUUGAUUACUAAAUUGAUUUUUUAGUUCAGUUCAAUUAAUAAAUUUACUUCGGUUCAAAUUCUUGUUAUAGUUUCUGGUCAAAUGUAUUGUUUCAGUUCAGGCCUCUAGAGUAGCUGGUGGAUCCAAGUGAAAGUGCCCAUUAACAGUCAUAUCAUUUUCAUUGUGAACUUAUAAAUGUUACUAUACAUGAACUUGGUUGUUCUUUUUACAAGAACUUGUACAUUGCCUUGUCAGGUUGUGCGUUUACUAACCAGAAGUCUACCCCAGUUGAGCAAAGAAAAUUCUACAUCAGUUCAGACUAAAAAACACCAUAAAUUUAAGAGGAAGAAAAAAAAUUAAUGAGAGAAAAAGCUGAGGUGGCUCACUAAAGAAACCCGAGAAAGCUAAAGUUUUGCUGCAUAUCAAACAUGUAUGCAUGUUUUGUGUUUAAACAUGUUUUGGUUCAUUGACAAUUUGAACUUGCAACCUUACUAUCUUGUACUAUGGUCUAAAAAAUUGUACCCAUGCAGGUACUUGAAAGGUGCAGACUUGGCAGCUAUGUGGUUCGUUCAACAACAGUGCAAUGACAAAAAGAACAUUAGUUCCAAAAAUUAUGCAUGAGGUUUGGGAGCCAAACAACUGGAGGUUCAAAGAUUGUCGUGGAGCAAGUUCAAGAGUUUGGUUUCAUGUGAAAAAUGUGAUUUUUUGGUCAGGAUUUUGCAUGAUUGAUAGCCAUCAGUGGUAGCCGGCGAGCAGUUCAAGCCCGCAUGCGCGAGCCGCCCAUCGUCUUCCACACGUGAUCCUAUUGCUUGAUGAUGCUUGACAUGAACUCAACAAGAUGGAUGGAAUUGUCGCAAUGUAAUGUAAAUGAAUAUGGUAAACAAACUUGGACACCAGAUUGUUUUAGAGGUGGAGUUUGUGCUCCAGUUGAGUUGCAGCAGAUUGUGGCUGCUGGUUGUUUCAAGUGAAGGUGGUCGGGUAUUACUUGUGUAGGACUGAAUGAAUCUUGUAUGUAAAGGAAACUGGAUCGAAUAGUUGUCAGUAUUAAGAUUUAAAAUUACAUUUUGAUCCA